AGUCGUAACAAGGUUUCCGUAGGUGAACCUGCGGAAGGAUCAUUAAAAUGCACCUUAGGGGCCCUUUGGGCGCAUUCACCUUAUGUCGGGGCGGUCAUGAACGUGAGGCUUCAUGUAAUGAUUGGCUGCCUGGCUGCAUCCACCCUUUGUUUAUGUGUACCUUGUGUUGCUUUCUCGGUGGGGACGCUCACCGGCAGGAAGCCAAAUCAAACUCUUUUGCAGUGGAAGUUACCUCUGAUAGACAAUAAAUUUAAUUACAACUUUCAACAAUGGAUCUCUUGGUUCUGGCAUCGAUGAAGAACGCAGCGAAAUGCGAUAAGUAGUGUGAAUUGCAGAAUUCAGUGAAUCAUCGAAUCUUUGAACGCACAUUGCGCCCCUUGGUACUCCAUUGGGCAUGCCUGUUCGAGCGUCAUUUACCCCCUCAAGCUCUGCUUGGUGUUGGGUGUCUGUUCUGCUUUACUGCGUGAACUCGCCCUAAAGCUAUCGGCAGCUUCUAUGCCAGCCUCCAGCGCAGCAGAAUUAGCGCCUGGAAGGUCUGGCCAGGAAGCGUCCGGCAAGAUUCAAUUCAAGCUUGACCUCGGAUCAGGUAGGGAUACCCGCUGAACUUAAGCAUAUCAAUAAGCGGAGGAAAAGAAACCAACAGGGAUUGCCCUAGUAACGGCGAGUGAAGCGGCAACAGCUCAAAUUUGAAAUCUGGCUCUCUUGCAGGGUCCGAGUUGUAAUUUGCAGAGGGUGCUUUGGCGUGGGCAGCGGUCUAAGUUCCUUGGAACAGGACAUCACAGAGGGUGAGAAUCCCGUACGUGGUCGCUGGCCCUCGCCGUGUAAAGCCCCUUCAACGAGUCGAGUUGUUUGGGAAUGCAGCUCUAAAUGGGAGGUAAAUUUCUUCUAAAGCUAAAUACUGGCCAGAGACCGAUAGCGCACAAGUAGAGUGAUCGAAAGAUGAAAAGCACUUUGGAAAGAGAGUCAAACAGCACGUGAAAUUGUUGAAAGGGAAGCGCUUGCCGCCAGACUUGCCUGCAGUUGCUCACCCAGGCGUUUCGCCUGGUGCACUCUUCUGUAGGCAGGCCAGCAUCAGUUUGGGCAGCCGGAUAAGGGUCUCUGUCACGUAUCUUUCUUCGGAAUGACCUUAUAGGGGAGGCGUAGUACGGUUAGCCUGGACUGAGGUCCGCGCAUCUGCUAGGAUGCUGGCGCAAUGGCUGCAAGCGGCC
rnacentral:rRNA from 1 species